UAGAGUUUGAUCAUGGCUCAGGAUGAACGCUGGCGGUAUGCCUAACACAUGCAAGUCGUACGAGAGUUUUUAACUCUAGUGGCGGACGGGUGAGUAACACGUGAGAAUUUGCCUUUAGGAGGGGGAUAACAAUUGGAAACGAAUGCUAAUACCCCAUAUGCUUUCGAGUGAAAUGGAUUUAUAUUUAUCCGCCUAGAGAGAAGCUCGCGGCUGAUUAGCUUGUUGGUAAGGUAAGAGCUUACCAAGGCGACGAUCAGUAUCUGGUUUGAGAGGACGAUCAGACACACUGGAACUGAGACACGGUCCAGACUCCUACGGGAGGCAGCAGCGGGGAAUUUUCCGCAAUGGGCGAAAGCCUGACGGAGCAAUACCGCGUGAGGGAAGACUGCCUAUGGGUUGUAAACCUCUUUUUUCAGGGAGGAAUCAAUGACGUGUACCUGAAGAAUAAGCAUCGGCUAACUCCGUGCCAGCAGCCGCGGUAAGACGGAGGAUGCAAGUGUUAUCCGGAAUCACUGGGCGUAAAGCGUCUGUAGGUGGUUUAAUAAGUCAACUGUUAAAUCUUGAGGCUCAACUUCAAAAUCGCAGUCGAAACUAUUAGACUAGAGUAUAGUAGAGGUAAAGGGAAUUUCC
rnacentral:rRNA from 1 species